AAUGGCCUUUCCAUCUUUUAUGAUAGUCGACUCCCACAAGCCCUGAGAGAUGGAAACUUAUUCCUUUACCCUAGAGAGGCGGGGUGCUGAGAAGUCCUGAAGUGGCAAUAACUCGGUCUGUCCAAUGUGGCCCUCCUCCAGGCUCCCAACGGCUAGUUGUACCACUAGGUGAAAAGCAAAACAGAAAGGAAAUGACAGCAAUCCCUUCUGCCGGGAUUUGAAAAGCACUUUUUUCUGCCCUUUGGACUCUAAACCGAGCUUACUUCUAAUCUAAAGAAAACACCGAAAGGAUUGCAAGGUCUGAGUACCUAUUAAUCAGAGAAGAAAAAAAUCCCAACUCCAUACACGCAUUAUCAGGGAGAAGUUACACUAUCCAUUAUUCUGAUGGGUCCUAGAGGGAGGUUAAGGCUGAGAUCAGCUCCAAACACAUGCAGUUUGUUGGCAAGGGCCACAGUGGGGGUGUGUGCUGUGCUCUUUUUUAGCCCCACUAAGGAUAAUGGCAUUUGUGGACUAAGCAGCUAUCUGUUUAAAAGUGUAACUCCAAAUAGAACCUUACAAAGGGGAGAGAAGGAGGAAAACCAGGAAUGAGAGAAGAGAUAAUGAAAGAUGAGUGUUGCGCUCGUCCUUACGUCCGAGAAAUUCACCGUCUCAUCCCAUUUCCGGUUCCUGUGCUGAUGGCCCUGGGAGUCAUGCCCAAUCUUCUGACCCCAGGAUUGUUCUUAGGCGGUGAAAGACUCCCCACCCCCAUUUUUCUGCUUACCUUGAUAAGAGGUAAAUUUUGUGUUUAUUUCCAGAUAACUAGGGGGAAGAGCUUUGCUUGAAAAUGAGCUAAAACUGUAGUUUGGCUGAAGUGUUUAUGAAAAGCAGGGACGGGCUGACAGGAACCCACAGAAAAGAUUGCUGCUUAUGCGCGUCCCAUGGGAGUCCCUGCAAUGUCAUUUCAAAGCCAGCGAUGGAGUGUCCGUCCCUUUGCACUGAACCGCUUUGUAUUUUUGUGGUGUUGCAGGGGUCUGUCUCACUCUCCGGUUUGAGAUUGGUCUCAAUUGUAGCAUCCUCCUGCUUCAGCCAUGUAGGUGGGCCCACCAGCGUGCGGCCUCUACCUCACACUGUAGUCUCACGUAUUUCCUCGUCCCGCACCACCUCCAGUGCCUGUGACUGAGCUGGGCCUCCAGAUAGUCUGCCGUGAAGUCUACAAAUCAGUGACCUUAAUUUCACCUACACAGUCUGAUAUACCACAGAUCCUUGGAAGUAACGCCGGAAGGCAAAGCCGAAGGGGCCAUCUUCGAAUUUGCUUCUUGUACCCUGCUCCUCGGCUUAAAGGGAAACAAUGGUUAAACAAUCAGCUGGCCUGAGCAGCUCCUCUGUUUGUAGAAGAUGGGUGGAUUUGAGAAGACGGGAGGGGCAGAGACAAGAUUUAAGCCGGUGCGUGAGCAGUACUCUUUCCGUAGCCUUGUGCGCUUUCUUGGCGGGCAAGCCUGCAGACCACACAUGGCAUCAUCUGUUACAGGAAGCCUUGCAGGCUUGACGGGUAUCCGGACAAAAUGGCAUCCAGAAGCCUAACUGAAGAGGC
ensembl:lncRNA